rnacentral:tRNA from 2 species
GGAUGAUUAGCUCAGUUGGUUAGAGCGUCACAUUGACAUUGUGAAGGUCACUGGUUCGAAUCCAGUAUCAUCCACCA